AGGCAGCGUUAGGGGCAGUGGGUGGGAGGGGAGGCUUCACAAACACCCAGUGGAGGCCUCAACACCCCCAGCAAGAAAGUACUGGGCCCGCCUUUGCACCGAACGGAACGGCAGCUGCGGGCUUUCUCCCGGUGCCAGGCCCGAGUGGACAAAUGGUGCUAGAAGGGGAGGAUUUGCAGUGAGGAAACUCACACCAGACAUCACAUCAGGAUCUGAUGCACUCUCCAAAUUUAUCAAAACUGGAAUAUCAUUUGAUUAUGAAUGGAAGGAAAAAGCACCAUUCACAGUGGAGAUAAACCGUACAUGUGUUCUGUGUGUGGACGAGGCUUCAGCCGAUCAUCUGGCCUGUUGAAACACAAGUGCAGUCAUAUGAGGGAGAAACUAUGGAAAUGUGAGGACUGUGGGAAGGGAUUCAAUUACCCGUCUGACCUGGAUGAGGUUCGAUGGGUAACCUUGCUGGAUUGUCACAAUAUAUUUAAAAUCUAUUUUGGACUGUUGCCUUAAAAGGGGGGUCUGGUUAACUAGGAAUUUGUAGUCUGGAGUCUGGUUAACUAGGAAUUUUGGAAAUAGAAUAUGAUGUAACCAUGUAACUAUAAUCUUGUGUAUGUGAUUUACGCUUUUCUUUUGUUAAUAAAUGUUUUAAUUUGA